rnacentral:rRNA from 1 species
AACGAACGCUGGCGGCAUGCCUAACACAUGCAAGUCGAACGAGACCUUCGGGUCUAGUGGCGCACGGGUGCGUAACGCGUGGGAACCUGCCCUUAGGUUCGGAAUAACUCCCCGUAAGGGGUGCUAAUACCGGAGAAUGUCUUCGGACCAAAGAUUUAUCGCCUUUGGAUGGGCCCGCGUUGGAUUAGCUAGUUGGUAGUGUAAAAGCCUACCAAGGCGACGAUCCAUAGCUGGUCUGAGAGGAUGAUCAGCCACACUGGGACUGCGACACGGCCCAGACUCCUACGGGAGGCAGCAGUAGGGAAUAUUGGGCACUGGGCGAAAGCCUGAUCCAGCAAUGCCGCGUGAGUGGUGAAGGCCUUAGGGUUGUAAAGCUCUUUUACCCGGGAUGAUAAUGACAGUACCGGGAGAAUAAGCACCGGCUAACUCCGUG